ACUGGGUUAAUCUAACAAGACAGUCAGUGGAUACGAGAUCGUAAGUAUAAAGCAGUAUUGAAGGUUAACAGUUUGGGUUGUACGGGGUUCUCUGUAACGUCAAGAGACCUACCGGCUGGGGCAAAAAAGACUUCGACAAGCAGUCGAAGAGCACCCGUAUAGAUUUACGAUACAUUGUUGCAGUCGUUUAUAUUCCAGCAGUCAAAAACUGAUAGACUGCUUGACUAUCGGCGAAUCUCCAUACUACCUUCUACAGCCAGACGCCCGGCGCGUUCUCGAGCAGGAAAGCACGUAAUACGACAUAAGUGGUGAACCCGACGUGAAAGCUUGAGGUAGAAGGUAUUGGAUUUCGGUUGAUUUUAUCUUUAUUUUUUAUGGAAAACGAAAAUAAAAAUUUUGAAGGAUUUUUGGGAGAAAUUUCUGGUGGGGAGUCUUCUAAAGGACAAGGUAUGCACAUGGAUCCGUCUAUUGCUAGUUUGUUUCAAGCCUUCUCAUUGUCAAUGCAGCAACAACAAAGCAAUGAUCGAAAGGAAGCUUUGGCAACCAAAGCAUUGCAAGCAAUGGUCAAUAAAAUUGAUCAAUUUGAUGGGAGGAAUAUUUCAAGGUAUUUAAGAUGUUAUGUUCGUGAAAUGGAAUUAAAUCGGGUUUCUGAGAAGAAAAUGGUUGCACUAUUUGGACUUGCCACGAUACCGGAGAUAAGGGACCACAUUACAUCGAUUACGGAUCGUUGUGGAAAUUCAUGGGAGGAUUUUUCACAUGCAUUGAAAGACGAAUAUUUCUUGGAAGAUGCUGAUUGCGUUACUAAGAAGCUGUUUCUGGGAUGGAUUGAACGGCCCAAUAAGAAUUUGCAAGCAACAGAGCUACUAAGGGAAUUUGAGAGGCAGUACUCUCAAUUAUCGAAGGUAGAAAAAUUGACAUUGGAACCGAACAAAGUUGAUCUAUUUCUUCAAGCUGCUGAUGGAGAAUUGCAAGAGAAAUUAGAACCCCUUCUUGAAGACAAAGAAGAAGAUGAAGGAUUGACAACGAAGUGGAAGAACGUUGAAGAUGCGGUGGGGUUGCUUACAAAAAAAGAAAGGAGGAAGGAUAGGAGUAAUAUUCCGAAACCAGUACAAGCACCCAAAGCUCCAGUAUGUACUACACCACCGACAAUGCCUACAGUUCAACCUUCGACAUCCUUAUCAAAGAAAGCAGAUAUGGGGAUGGAAGAAAUUAUACGAGGAAUGCGAGAUCUUCAAAUCAAAUUGGCAAGACUUGAAGAGAAUACUUCUAUAAACAAUUCGAAGAAUGUUUCAAAACAAGGAUAUGUACAAAGAUGCAUUUGGUGUGAUGAUGCUUCACACACUAGAAAAGAUUGCAAUGAAUUUAAUAAUAUGAUACGGCAGGGAAUUAUUUGCUGGAAAGAUGGGAAGAUAGCAUUGAAAGAUAGGGAGGAUCUUCUUCAAACCAAUUUUGGCAAAGGAGGAAUGAGAGCAUUGGUUCAAGAUUACUUAAAAGGGCAUGAAACAGUAGCACGAGAAAGUGCAAGUUAUGGUGCUAGAGUAGAUGAUGAAAUUGGUGGAAGUACGGAAACUAGUGAGUUUUGGGCUUCUGCCGUUUCUACAAUGCAAGAAGAGAAAUUACCUCGAGAAGUGUUAUUGAGAACAGCAGCUACAAUACGAGGAAGAACAGGUUGGGAGGAUCCCGUUGAGUCUCUUUCAGUUCAUGCAUAUAUUGCUAAGAGCCAACAUGAAGCUUUGAUGGAAGAGAAAAGACGAAGAAAUUUUGAUGAUACUAGAGAAGGAAAUUCUUUUAAGAGGCAAACUGGAGGAGACAAGGCUCGGGAAGCAGCUUCACAAGAAUUGCCUGUAAAGGAUACCUCAGCAUCAUUGGGAGAAAAAACAACGGAGACAAAAGAUAAGGGCAAAUCAAUUGCUUAUAAGCUACUUUCUGACAUUGAAGCAGCAACAAAUUUGAAAGGGGUGUUGGAAGAACGUAUAUUAAACGCUAAGGUGGAAUUCACAUUGAAAGAAGUCUUGGGAAUUGCAAAGAAGGAGUUUCAUGAUGUUAUCAUUGACAGCAUUAAGCGAAAGAGGCAAUUAAUGAGCGAAACUGGAAUGAGUCAUGCUAUUGACGCAAGAAUAUGUAGAGAUGAAGAAGAGGUUGAUAUUGGUUACAAGCAACCAAUAAAUGAAAAGAAUGGGUAUAAUCAGCGAGUACGUUUUGAAGAUUCUAGUGACAAGGAAAUGGAAACUUUGAGCCAUUAUACUCGAAAGCAUUGGGCAAGGGCAACUACUGAGGUAUUGGUGAAGGUAGGAGAUAUAGAAGAACCAAUAGUUGCUAUGGUGGACCAUGGUUCUGAAAUAAAUCUCAUGUCUAAAGAUCUUUAUAAGAAGCAAAAAUGGCCAAUUGAUAUGGAACAUGGAUGGGCAAUAUGAGCAGCUAAUAACACACGAGGCGAAUUAUAUGGAGCUUGUCCAGAUGUCAAAAUUCGGAUUGGGGAUGUUGCGACGGAGCAACAUUUCUUCGUUCAAGAUACAACGUCUUAUCCGUUGAUUUUAGGACAACCUUAUAUCACGGCAACACGGAUGGAAACAAAGGUACUUGACGAUGGUUCUGCUUAUGCAAGGGUACGGAGCGAAGAUGGGAGGAAAGCUGUACAAUUUCUAACAGUACCUCCUAACCAUGAACGGAAUCGAGAUAGGUUGAGGGAGAAACCAUUGCCAAAGAUUGUUGAAGGAUUUAAGGAUUUUAGAGAGGUACCACUGUAAAGCGAGAUUAUGGAGGUACAAAAGAGGAGGUACUCUCGCGAGAUGAAGGUGCCUUUGAUGCGAGUUUUAUUGGUAUAUUGGAAAAUGGAAAUAUUAUGUAUAAGAAAGUUGAAGAUUUUAAAAGAAAAGAAAGAAAAAGAUUAUAUGAUAUUGAAGGACAGUUACGCAAGAUAGGUACAUUGUAAGAUGAUGAGAGGAUUUUGGGUGUUUAUGAAGAAAAUGGGCUGGAAGAUUCAUUGGAAUUGAUUACAUCUAUUGGGUUAGGGGAUAAUGAUAAGAUUGUUGAAAUUCAUUCGAGAGAGGUUUAUACCAUGCUUGAAUCUUUUCAAGCACCAGAAGUCACAGUAGAGACGAGAUAUAAAACGGCAGAUAAGAAGGUAAAGCCUGUUGCCGGACCAUUACAAGAGGAUUCUAAAGAACAAAUGGGAGAAGCAUCAAAAGAAGCAAGUUUAAGAGAUCCAAUGAGUAUUGGACAUCAGUUUACUGAAGAGACUUUUGAAGAAUUGAAGAUUGGUUCUGAUGGUUCUUUAUUGCCGGAGGAAAUUACUUGCUUCAAAAAGAUGUUGGCUAAACAAGGUAGAUCGUUUGCCUUCGAAUCUCAUGAAAUUGGGUGUGUGGAUCCAAAUAUUAUAACACCUAUGGUUAUCUUCACUGUACCGCAUGUACCUUGGAAUCUAAGAUCGAUUCCAGUACCGAGGGCACAUUUACCUAAAUUGGUGGAACUGUUGAAAGAAAAGAUAAAGAUGAAAAUAUUAAAACCUUCAUUUGCGCCGUAUGCUAGUCGAUGGUUUACGGUACCUAAGAAGAAUGGGUCAUUGCGGUUUAUUCAAGAUAUGCAGCCGGUGAAUGCUGUAACUGUCAGGAAUGCAGGAAUUGGACCUAUUGUGGAUGAAUUUGCUGAGGCGUUUGCUGGAAGGGCGAUCUAUUCAAUGGGUGAUUUGUAUUCAGGUUAUGAUCAAUUUCAACUUGUCGAAGGAAGUAGAGAUAUGACAACGAUGAGGACACCGCUUGGGUUGGUUAGAAUGUGCACUCUUCCUCAAGGCGCGACCAACUCAGUUGCGCAUAUGAUGAAUGGGAUGAAUAAGGUAUUGAGAGAUUUUAUCCCGGAAAAGACUAUGCCUUUUCUGGAUGAUGUUCCUAUAAAAGGGUGCAAAGAAGGAGACAAGGAUGAAACUUUAGAUACGAGGGGGUGUCGCAGAUAUGUUGUUGAUCAUAUACAAGAUUGUGAAAAGAUUUUAACUCGGCUUGGAGAAGUUCAUCUUACAUUAUCGGGUAUGAAGUCCGUAUUUGGAGUGCGAGAGGUUGUAAUUGUUGGACAUUUAUGCGGAUCUUACGGAAGAAAACCAGAUCCGACUAAAGUUGAUGCAAUUGGAAGGAUGAAAGAGGAUUGUGGUUCUUUAACAGAGGUUCGCAGGUUUUUGGGUGCAUGUGUAUUUUAUCGAAUCUGGAUCCCUCAUUUUGCUCACAUAGCGGAUCCAUUAUAUGAAUUGUUACGCAAGGGUUACCGAUUUGAAUGGGAAGAAAGGCAUAUUCAGGCAAUGCAAAGAUUGAAGAAAUUAUUGAUGUCACCUCCAAUAUUGAGGAAGGUUGAUUAUAAGUGCAAUAGACCAGUGAUUCUUACUGUAGACGCUAGUCCAUUUGCCAUUGGAUGGGCGGUGGGUCAAGAUGAUUCGAAUGGGAGUAGAUUUGCAGUUCGAUUUGGGGCUAAAGUUUUAAGUAUUCGUCAGCGUGCAUAUUCGCAAGUCAAAAGAGAACUUUGGGGAGUCGUUUCGGCUAUGAAAGCUGAAAAGGACUAUUUGAUUGGGGCAGUAGUAGUAAUUGAAACAGAUUGCUUGCCAUUGCUUGGAAUGAUUAUUAACUGUUCAAUGCCAGAUAUUGCAAUGUUGAGAUGGAUUGCUUAUAUUAAGUCACUAAAUCCAGAAUUUAAGCAUAUCACUGGAAAGGACAAUUUAGUAGCAGACAUGCUAUCUCGAGCAAGAUACGAGAGGGAGGACGAAAUGGUUGAAGACAUUGAUGAUGUCGGAUUGAAAUUCUAUUCAAUAUCAAAUCUCAACAGAGAAGACAAGCUAUUUCUUGAAGAAUCUUAUGAAGGAGAAUUAUUGGAUAUUGGUCAUUAUUUGAAUACCUUGUCUAAGUAGGGGAAUUGGUCUACAGAAAAAUUCAAACAAAUAAGAAAAAAAGCAUAUGGAUUUUUACUUCGAGAUGGAUUCUUAUGGAAGAGACCGAAGAAAGGAAUUGGGAUGCCACAACGAGUGAUAGGAAAAAGGAAAGAAAAACUAAAAUUAUUAAAGGGGUUUCAUGAUAGUUUAUGGACAGGGCAUAGAGGAAUCUGGGCUACUUUUGCUAAACUCAAGGAACGAUAUUGGUGGAAAAAUAUGUAUCGAGAUGUGCUCUCAUUUGUAGAGUCAUGUGAAAUCUGUCAAUCGUAUUCUAAUAUCCGACAUCGAGAUGGUCUUCAUCCUACGUAUCCUCUGGCUAUUCAUUUUAAAUGGGUUGUUGAUUUGGUUAUUAUGCUGGUUGGAUUAUGGCAGAUGAGAUAUUUGGUUUUAGCUCGUGAAGAUUUAUCAAAUCAAGUAGAAGGAAGAGCAUUGAGGACAAAAUCUACAGAGGGGAUUUGUAGGUUUUUGCUUGAAGAUGUCAUUUGCCGUUACGGGUGCGUAGGAAAAAUCACUGCAGAUCGUGGAGAAUUAAAUGCACAAGAAGCUCGUAAGUUCUUUGAAAAAUGUGGAGUUAAACUAUCACUGACUACUGCUUAUAAUCCGGAAGGGAAUGCGAAAAGCGAACGCGGUCACCCGCCGAUUGUGAAAGCAUUGGUUAAAGCUUGUAAUGGGAAAGUUAAAGAGUGGCCACGGCUUUUGUCAUUUGCAUUAUGGGCUGAUCGAACAACACAUAGUUCGGUGACAGGAUAUAUGCUAGUAGAACUUAUGACAGGUCAAAAACCAAUUAUGCCGAUUGAAGAAAAGGUACUUACUUGGAGUAUGCUACCAUGGGAAGAUGGAUUGACAAGAGAAGAACUUCUAGCCAUUAGGAUUCGACAAUUGGAGCAAAGAACGGAAGAUGUCCAGAUAGCAUUGGAAAGGUUAAAAAGAGCAAGGUUACAAAACAAGGCGCGAUUCGAUAAGCAACAUCGAUUGAGACCAAAAGCAAUCGAGGAAGGUGACUGGAUACUUGUUUAUGACAAUAGUCUGGAUAAUCAACAUAGUACUUUGCGGAAAUUUUCAAAACGUUGGUUUGGACCAUAUGUUGUAACAACUGUUCAUGAUAAUGCGACUUACUCAUUACGGGAGUUAGAUGGUACAAAAUUGAAAAUACCAAUUGCAAGGAAGAGAGUAAAAAUAUUUAAACGAAGACACGCAGAGAUGAAUAUGGAAGACCUUAAUGAAGGUACAGAGAUUCCGCAGCAAGAAGAUGAAAGUGAUAUGGAUAAUGAAGGUGACGAAGACAAACUGGACAAAGACGUAGGGGAUAUAUUCUGAAUCAAACAGCAAUUGGGUAAAUUGGUGCAUACCGGAGGAUGCACAGGUUCAGAGGGGGUGGAUGUCGUGUUGUAACACGAGUAUACAGUGAAAAUAAAAAGAAAGGGGAAUUUUAUUAAUAUUCAGUUACCUCGAAUAUUGGGAGCAUCGACCAACUCCAGUACAAAUACUGAGUGGUCAGGUUCAGUGACUCCGUUACAGUCAGCCGGGGCAUACUGGAAUGUCCCAUUCGAUUCCAAUAACGGGAGUCAGCAGGAAGAGAAGGACCAAUUCACACGACGGAUUCGAGGAGCCAAUUGGAUCCAAUUUCGAGAAUCUAAUCCGGGUCCUCUUACCCAAUAUGAGACCUGUAUUGGUGGGGCAACCCAAUGCAGUCUAGUUACGGGAAAUCCAGGUCUUACUACGGGUCUUAGCCAAUCUGACGCGAGGACCAAUUUGACCCAAUUACGGGAACAUCCAGGUUACUACGGGCAUCUCUCCCAAUAUAGGACCUGAAUUGGUCGGGCGACUCAAUGUGGUCCCGAUUACGGGGUUCGAUUCUGUUUCAGGCUGUCCUGUUCUCUGUGCCGUUUCAGGGAACGUUGUUUUCGGUAAAUGGAUUUCUUAAAGGUAAAAACGGAGGAGAAAGUUUGACGGCGAGAGCCAAUUUCGGAUCCAAGCUUGAGGUGGGAGCCAAUUCCGGAUCUAAGACGGAAGAUUGAAGAAAUUCAGAGGAUAAGGUUAGGGGGGAUAUAGUUUUGGAGUGGUGUGGGUUUUUAUUUUGGAUGGGAGGUUUUUGAAGAUCAAGGGAAUUAGAGAGAGGAGCUUCAUGCUUCGGGUCGGGGAAGGAAAGACAUAGGAUUUGGAUUUUUCUUCUUCGUAGAGUUUUGGGGAAGACUGAGGCAAUCGCUGCUGAAGUCAGUGUUGUAAUGGUGAAUCGAGAUUUUUAAAUGAAGUGGUUUUGAAUACUCUUGACUGUUUUGUGAAAUCGAGUUACGUCUGUGAUUGAAGGAUUAAAAGGGUGUCUAUAGGAUUGAGUAUGCGGAGUGAAUGAAAUUUACUGGGUUAAUCUAACAAGACAGUCAGUGGAUACGAGAUCGUAAGUACAAAGCAGUAUUGAAGGUUAACAGUUUGGGUUGUUCGAGGUUCUCUGUAACGUCAAGAGACCUACCGGCUGGGGCAAAAAGGACUUCGACAAGCAGUCGAAGAGCACCCGUAUAGAUUUACGAUACAUUGUUGCAGUCGUUUAUAUUCCAGCAGUCAAAAACUGAUAGACUGCUUGA
rnacentral:lncRNA from 1 species